GCCCUGUGCUGCUCUUCUGGGAACAGCCAGAGAACAAAUCCUCCCCUCCACAUCCAUCUUCAGGUGCUGGGAGAUCUCUGGGAUUUAGCACUUCUCCCUAGUCCUGCUGAAGAGCCAGAACUUGCCUCUCAGCCAGAAUCCUGUAAAAAAGAUUAUUCUGUUCUGCCACUGAUGUAAAUUGGCAUCAUCAAUGCACCUGUUUGAAGAGAGAGGUUUCUAAUAGCAACCUAAUGAAG
rnacentral:lncRNA from 1 species